GAGAGGGGCAUGACCGCACCGAAUACUGCUAAUUUUCGUUACCCCGGUUUGAAUCCGAGGCCCACUCG
rnacentral:tRNA from 1 species